rnacentral:rRNA from 1 species
GAUGAACGCUGGCGGCGUGCUUAACACAUGCAAGUCGAACGGAGUGGCGAACGGGUGAGUAACACGUGGGUGAUCUGCCCUGUACUUCGGGAUAAGCUUGGGAAACUGGGUCUAAUACCGGAUAGUAGGGGAUGAGCUCGCGGCCUAUCAGCUUGUUGGUGGGGUAAUGGCCUACCAAGGCGUCGACGGGUAGCCGGCCUGAGAGGGUGUACGGCCACAUUGGGACUGAGAUACGGCCCAGACUCCUACGGGAGGCAGCAGUGGGGAAUAUUGCACAAUGGGCGCGAGCCUGAUGCAGAAACGCCGCGUGCGGGAUGACGGCCUUCGGGUUGUAAACCGCUUUCAGCCAUGACGCGCUCGUGGCCUAUGAAGCACCGACUAACUUCGUGCCAGCAGCCGCGGUAAUUC